UAGAUCAAAAACAAAACAGCGGGAUAUGAAGAUGGAGGAUGGUGGAGGUGUGCCCAGUUUGCCAUGUGAGGCUGGUGAGCGGGAGGGGCACGGAGGCUGAAUCCUGGGAUUCUAGGUUUGGCAACAGGGUUGAUGGAGAUGUCAUCUUCAGAGAGGGGUUUACAGGAGGAGAACAACUUUUUGCAGGCCUGUGGGGAGGUGAUGAGUUCCGUCCUGGGUGUGACAGUGUGACGGGCCCAAGGUCCAUCUGCAUGGGGUGUCAGUGGGUGAGGGAAUGUCUGAGCUGUAGCUAAUGAAUGUGGGCAUUGUUCAUCUCAGGGUGGGUUCCCCAUGGAGGAGAAGACAAGAGGACCUGGGGCCGAUGCCUGGGGAGCCUCCGUUUGGGCUGCAAAGGACGAGGAGCUGAUGGGCGGAAGCAGGGAGACCGGGGCACGGGUGCCCAGAAAGCCAAGAGCAAAGGAAGAGGCUCACGAGGUGGAGAGCACUCAACAGGGCCGAACGCUGCAGAGAAGCCCAGGAAGGGAAGACUCGAGAAGAACCCAUUUGGUUCAGCUGGAGGAGGGCCCCAGUGGCCUCGAUUGCGGCCGUGUGCCGGGGGCAGAAGCUGCAGAGCAGCGGCGGGGGGGUGAGCAGUAGAGGAAGCCGGGACAAGACGCGUGAACGGCUCUUUCCUUGGCCGGGAAGUACGGAGGAGCCAGGCCAGUGGCUGGAGGUGGCCGUGGCGGUGAUGGCUUUUUCCAUCUUUAUUUCUGGUUUAUUUAGGCAGGGGACACCUGGCUUGUUUAAAUGCUGAUGGUUGGGAGCCAGGAGAGGGGGAAGUGAAGAUAAAGGGGAGGGGUUGACCAAGGUGCCAAGUGGGUGGGAAGAGGCUCCUCCAGAAUCCCAAAACGGGGGUGGGAUGGCCAUCUGGGAGGAAGGAACCUGUGCGGGGAGGCCUGUGGGCUGGAAGCAGGAGGUGUGUGCAGCAAGCACGUGGGCACUGGCUCUGGGCGGUGCAGGGAUGGGCAGGUCAUCAUGGGGCUUUAAAUCUACGAGUGAUGCGGUCCGAUUGGAGCCUCAGAACCAACAUCUGGCAGCUGAGUGAAUGGGUGGAAGAGCCCCAUCAACCUGUUAGGAACGGGGCUCACAAGUGUCCAUCUCCUCUGUGGAGAUGCUGGUGGAAAUGCCCAUCAUAACUCAAGAUGCAGAAUAUUUUGAGAGGUGGUAUUCUUUGAAGUUUAAAAACACAAGCUCUAGGGGACAGACUGGGUUUGGAUCCUGACUCCCUUCCAACAAGCUGUGUGACCUCGGGCUGGUUACUUGACCUCUCUGUGUGUAUUAGUUGCUUGUAGCUGUAUAACAGACUACCUCAAAACUUAGCAACUGAAAACAACACCCGUUUAGUAUCUCACAGUCCCUGUGAGUUGGGAAGGCAGGAGCCGCUUAACUGGGGCCCUGUGCUUGGGGUUACUCACGGGGCUGUGAUCAAGGAAGCGGCAGAGGCCAGAGUCUGCUCAAGGCACGACUGGGUAGGACCCACUUCCAGGCAAAGUCAGCGGCUGUUGGCAGGAUUCAGUUCUCCCUGGGCUGUUAACUGAGGCCCUCAUUUCCUCACUGUCUGAAGCCAGAAGCCACCUUGAGUUCCAAAUGGAGUUUGUCAAGUAGGCAGGUGGAUAAUUGAGUCUGGAAUUCAGGAGAAGGGUCCAGGCAGGAGAUAUAAAUGUGGGAGUCCUAGGCACGUAGAUGGUAUUUAAAACCAUGCAAUUGGUUGAGAUCACCAAGGAAACAGGUGCAGAUAGAAAACAGGUCCAAGGGCUGAGCCUGGGGGUAUCCCAGUAUUGGGGAGAUGAUGGGGAACCAGCAAUAGAUGGUAAGGAGAAGCCGGUGGAAAAGAAGAAGACCCAGUGGAAGCCACAUGAAAGAAGCGUAUCGGGUUUAACCGCCGAUUCUGCUGACCAGUCCUGUGAGAUGACCAUGGACAAUUGACUGCUGAUUUAACAACAACCUGGGGUCGCUGGUGACUUUGACAAGGUGGUGUCAGUGGGUGUGGAAGCUGAUGGGAAGGAGUUCAAGAGAGAAUGGUAGGGGAGAGAGUGGAUACAUGCCGUAUUUCAAGGAGUUUUGCUGUAAAGGAAAACAGGGAAAUAAGACAAUAGUUGAAGGGGAAUUGUAGGAUCCACAAUUAUUUUUUUUAACAUCUUUAUUGGAGUAUAAUUGCUUCACAAUACUGUGUUAGUUUCUGUUGCACAACAAAGCUAAUCAGCCAUAUGCAUACACAUGUCCCCAUAUCUCCUCCCUCUUGAGUCUCCCUCCCACCCUCCCUAUCCCACCCCUCUAGGUGGUCGCAAAGCACCGAGCUGAUCUCCCUGUGCUAUGCGGCUGCUCCCUACCAGCCAACUGUUUUACGUUCGGCAGUGUAUAUAUGUCGAUGCUACUCUCACUUCGCCCUAGCUUCUCCCUCCCACCCCAUAUCCUCAAGUCCAUUCUCUAUGUCAACCUCUUUAUUCCUGCCCUGAAACUACAUUCAUCAGUACCAUUUUUUUUUUUUAGAUUCCAUAUAGAAUGGCCAUUAUCAAAAAAUCUAAAAACAAUAAAUGCUGGAAAGGGUGUGGUGAAAAGGGAACCCUCUUGCACUGUUGGUGGGAAUGUAAAUUGAUACAGCCACUAUGGAGAACAGUAUGGAGGUUCCUUAAAAAACUAAAAAUAGAACUACCAUACGACCCAGCAAUCCCACUACUGUGCAUAUACCCUGAGAAAACCAUAAUUCAAAAAGAGUCACGUACCACAAUGUUCAUUGCAGCUCUAUUUACAAUAGCCAGGACAUGGAAGCAACCUAAAUGUCCAUCGACAGAUGAAUGGAUAAAGAAGAUGUGGCACAUAUAUACAAUGGAAUAUUCCUCAGCCAUAGAAAGAAACGAAAUUGAGUUAUUUGUAGUGAGGUGGAUGGACCUAGAGUCUGUCAUACAGAGUGAAGUAAGUCAGAAAGAGAAAAACAAAUACUGUAUGCUAACACAAUUAUUAUUUUUUUUAGUUUAUUUAUUUAUUUAUUUAUUUUUGGCUGUGUUGGGUCUUCGUUUCUGUGCGAGGGCUUUCUCUAGUUGCGGCAAGCGGGGGCCACUCUUCAUCGCGGUGCGCGGGCCUCUCACUAUCGCGGUCUCUCUUGUUGCGGAGCACAGGCUCCAGAUGCGCAGGCUCAGUAGUUGUGGCUCACAGGCCUAGUUGCUCUGCGGCAUGUGGGAUCUUCCCAGACCAGGGCUUGAACCCGUGUCCCCUGCAUUAGCAGGCAGAUUCUCAACCACUGCGCCACAAGGGAAGCCCCCAACACAAUUAUUUUUAAGGUAGGGGAAAUAAUUGCAUGUUUGUAUUCUGAUCGGAAUUAUCUAGUAGAGAAGGAGGCUGGGCAAUGUCUUGAGAAGGUGAGAGGGAACGGAGGGGGGUGGUCUAAGGUAGGAACAGGACGGUUUUUGAAGUAUCACGAGGCAAAGCCAAGCGAGCACAGGGGCCCUGAUGCUGGUGGGGCAGGUGCGGUGGUAGGAGCUCAUGGCAGCUCUUUCCACCUGCUUCCAUGUUCCUCCCGAAAUAGGAAGCAAGGCCGGGAGAAGAGAGGGAGAGCGGCGGGAGGAGGCGCUGGGAGUUUAAGGAGAGAGAGAAGAUGUGAACGAGUCAUCCAGGAGAGUCAAGAGUGGAGGACAAGGAGAAAUGGACUCUGGUGCCCAGGCAGUGAUGGAAGCCCAUGCAUCAUUGGCGGUCACGGGCUUUCUGAUAUGCAUGAAGGUUUGGGAACCACUGCCCUAGGGUAGAAUGGCCAAAGGAGGAGGACAAGUGUCACAGGACCAGAAGAAUUUAAGAAAUUGAGAGGUCGGGAAGGGAAAAGGAUUCCUUAAGGAACAUGAAAUUGCUGAAAAUUGAGACAGGGGUACAGGGACUUCCCUGGAGGUCCAGUGGUUAAGACUCCGCCUUCCAAUACAGGGGGCGUGGGUUGGAUCUCUGGUCGGGGAACUAAGAGCCCACAUGCUGCGGGGUGCGGCCAAAAUUUUUUUUAAAAAGGAGGUACAGCUGAAGAAAGUGCCCGGACCCAGGAGCUAAAGUCACCAAGAAAUGAAGACAAUGGCCAGGUGGAGAAGAGUCUAGAAGUGGCAGAAAACAGUAAGGAGGACACCUAUCCCGGAGCCCAGUGAUAUAAGGGCUGUGGGAGAUAGGCAGCCCCUCUGAGGGGCAUAGCGGGCAGGACAACGGCCCCCCAAAGAUGUCCACUCAUCCCUGGCACUUGUGCGUAUGUUACCUUACACGGCAGCGGGGACUUGGCAGGUGUGAUUACUAAUCUCGAGAUGGAAAGAGUAGCCUGGAUUAUCCAGGUGGGCCCAAUGUAAUCACAAGCGUCCCUAUAAGAGGGAGACCGGAGACUCAGACGCAGGAGUAUGCGGCUUCCGGGGGGCAGCGGUCGGGGUGAUGCCGUUGCUGGCUUGGAAGAUGGAGGGAGGCCCACCGGCCAGGAAGCGGAUUCUCCCCUCCAGCCUCCGGAAGGGACACGGCCCUGCGGACACCUUGAGUUUAGCCCAGCGAGACCAUUUUGGAUUCCUGACCUCCAGAACCGUAAGAGAGACACCGUGAUGAAAACAGAUGUUGAACAUGGCUACAGCCUCAGGGUGAUUUCUAAGCCUGACACCUAAGGCUGAAACCAGACAGAAAGAAAAGACAGACGCAUAGUGAGCCAUCAUUGUGAUGCUGCAGAGGACUCUGGGUCUGGCCUGUGAUGUAGCAAAGCCACUUUCACCAACAGACAGACCAUCCAAAAGCCAAGGCCCAGCGGGACAGCAGGAGGCACGUAAGCCAGCAAUACUGAUGCUGGGCACUGCAUGUGCUACCUGAUUCCAAUCAUUGUGCAGAGAAUGAAAUAACAGCAGCGGCAUCUGAACAGCUGAGGCACAGAAAGACUGCCCUGCCGUUGACGGAGAGCCUUCCUUAACUGGAAACACCAAGCAAAGUGUACAAAACCAAAAGGGAGCUGGCUCAGGGCAGAAGCAGAGCUGCCACAGGCUGGCACCUGGCGCUGCUGCCUUCCUUCUCCCUGGAAGAGGGUGAUGGGGCCACUGGGAGAGCAUGCAGAUCCCCAGAGCCUCAUUGCCACCCCUACUCCCCACCCCGACCUCCAGCCUCCGAGAAUCUCAGGAUUCAACGAUCUAAAGUUGACAGAAAGAUUCAAUGCCAUGCUGUGGAGCCUGACAGACUGACUCUCCAACGUGUCUGCAGAAAAGCAAAGACACUUCUGGGGAACAACGGGCUGGGGACUAAAGCUACCAGCCGUCCAGAACAUCUACAAAGCGGCUGUAAUGAAGAACUGGGGACAAACUCUCCUACAGAACAAAGCCGAGAGAGCACGAAGGGGCCUGCACUUACAUGGAAACGAUAUUUACAACAUGGAUGGAUUACAGGCCCGUGGGGAAAGGACGGACUUCUCAAUAGAUGGUCUGGGGCCACAACUUAUCCACACAGAAAACGAUGAAAUUAGAAAUUUACUUCAUACUGGACACAAAAGUCAAAUCCAGGUGGAUUACAAACUUAAGUGUGAAAGAUAAAACUGUAACAUGUUGGGAAGAUGAUACAGGAGAAGCUCUCUUUAUGACAUAGGGGUAGAAAGGGAUUUCCUAAACCAGUGCUUCAGAGAAGCAUCCGAAUCACUGGAGGGCUCAUAAAAGCUCAGGUUGCUGGGCCCAACCCUAGCGUUUCUGAUUCAGCAGAUCUGGGGUGGGCAGGGCCUGAGAAUCUGCAUUUCUAACGAGCUUCCACGUGACACGGAUGUGGCCAGUCCGAUGACACAUUUUCGGUAGCACCGUCCCAAAUGACACUCAAAAAGCUCAAACCUUUCCAAAAAUAAAUUUAACGACAUUAAAAGUUUCUAUUCAUUGAAAGAUACCACCUCACCCACAGGAGUUUUGCAAACACUUUAGCAAUCUUACAGUUUCAAACGUUGGGAGGAUGUAGAGCCAUGUACUUACUUCUGUGUUGCUGAUGGGAGUAUAAACUGGUACAACCGCUUUGGAAGACAAUUUGGUAUUGUCUACUGACGUGGCAGAUGUGUACGCCCAGUGACCAAGCAAUUCUACUUGUAAGUACAACCCGACAGAAGCGCCUCUGUGUGCAGAGAAAGAACAUUCUGGAAAGCACUGUUUGUACCAGCAUAGGGAAAAAAACCUGGAAAUGACCAAAUGUCCACCAUCAGCAGAAAGGAUAAAUGAGCUCUACAAUGGACUAUUACACGGCAGAGGAAAAGAAAGAAUUACAGCUACAAAAAUGACAACCUAUGAAUACCAAGAACGUAAUGUUGAAGGAAGAGGCAAGUUGCAGAAAACUACUUACAGAAUGACUGCAUUUAUGUAAAGUUCACAAGCAUGCAAAACUCAGUGUGUUGUUUAGAGAAUCAAACAAGUGGUAAAACUAUUUUUUUAAAAAAAGGAGAGUGACAAACACAAAAUUGAGGAUAGCAAUUCGUCUAAGGUGGGAGGGAAGAAAAUACACUCAAAAUUCCGCGCUCAGUCCAGGCGUGGAGCAUCACGGCUGAGAACAUUGCAGAACAGAGACAGACCCCAGACACCUCUGAUGGAGGAACAUACCACGUGUGAGGGAGCCUCACCCAAAACAUCAAACUCAAUCUGAUCCAGCCACCCAUCUCACUACUGAUUUACGGGAAAUGCUGAGGACAAAGCGACGACCUCGGGGCUGCAAUCAGCGAAACCCAGCCUACAUGCAAACCACCUGGCUUCUUCAAUGCAAAGAUGGCAAAGGGGAAAAAGAUAAAGGGGGCCUGCACAGAUGAAAGAAACGGAAAAUACAUUUCAAACAACCACACUGUGUGGGCCUGCCUUGGAUCCAGAGUCAAGAUGAACUGUGGGAAAAAAAAUUAGGCCAUGUAUGAGGCAGCUGAAAAUUUGAGCAUUGAGUUUGAUAUUAAAGAAUUAUUUUAACACACUACUAUAUAUAAAGUAGAUAAACAAUAAGGAUUUACUGUAUAGCACAGGGACCUAUAUUAUUCACUAUCUUGCAAUA